UGCUGGAGUAGCUCAAUUGGUAGAGCGCCCGACUUGUAAUCGGAUGGUUGAGGGUUCAAUUCCUUUCUCCAGCAA
rnacentral:tRNA from 1 species